rnacentral:rRNA from 1 species
UACGGAGGGUGCGAGCGUUAAUCGGAAUAACUGGGCGUAAAGGGCACGCAGGCGGGCUUUUAAGUGAGAUGUGAAAUCCCCGGGCUUAACCGGGGAAUAGCAUUUCAGACUGGGAGUCUAGAGUACUUUAGGGAGGGGUAGAAUUCCACGUGUAGCGGUGAAAUGCGUAGAGAUGUGGAGGAAUACCGAAGGCGAAGGCAACCCCUUGGGCAUGUACUGACGCUCAUGUGCGAAAGCUAGGGGAGCAAACAGG